AGAACGAACGCUGGUAGCGUGGAUUAGGCAUGCAAGUCGAACGGGAUCGCCGAGUUAGCAAUAACGAGGCGUGAGAGUGGCGGAUUGGGGAGGAACACGUGAGCAACCUGUCCUGAGCCGGGGAAAACCGCGGGAAACUGCGGCUAAUACCGGAUGCGGCGCCCGACGGCAUCGUCGGAGCGCUAAAGGGGGCCCGCAAGGGCUCUCGCUCUUCGAGGGGCUCGCGCACCAUCAGCUUGUUGGCGGGUAACGGCCCACCAAGGCCUACGGUUAGCUGGUCUGAGAGGAUGACCAGCCCCACUGGGACUGAGAUACUGCCCAGACUCCUACGGGAGGCUGCAGUCGAGGAUCAUUUGCAAUGGGCGAAAGCCUGACAAUGCGACGCUGCGUGGAAGGAUGAAGGCCUUCGGGUUGUAAACUCCUGUCAUAUGGGAACAGGCGAGGGGACCCAACACGUCCCUUAGUUGAGUGUACCUUAAGAGGAAUGGGCGGCUAACUCUGUGCCAGCAGCCGC
rnacentral:rRNA from 1 species